UACCAGUGCCUCCUCUGCGGCCUCCCUAGCUGGAGUCGCCAUCCAGCCCUGUCCCCAGCCCACAAAUCCGCGCGCUGCCCGUCACUUCCCAUUGUACUAUCUCUCGGGACACCUCCAUGGCACUGAACUUAGAGGCCCUUCAUGGUGCAGCCCUGGCUUCAUGCCUAGUCAUGCACUUGCUCUCCAGAAGAUGAAUCACAUCUCCACGCCACACCACGCCCUUCCACGGAGUGUCCUGUGCCCCCUUCUCUGCCGGCUGGCCUCGUGUUGGCCCUGCUCCUAUCUCUCAGCACCGGCACAGUGCAUGUGGCUCUCCAGCCAUUUCCUACUUCUCUCCUCAGUGCUGAGCGCCGGGCAAUGGGGCAGACACUCCGGGCUCACAGUCAGCUGUACCCGCGGGCCACAGAGGGAGAGCACUGCCUGCCAGUAGCUCAGGUUCCGUCCAUGGCCAGAGAGAGCCUGAGCCCCAUCUCCUGUGGCCUCGGCUGCGGCAGGCGCCCCCAGCACCCCGCUCUCACCCUCAGAGGCUGCAGGAUCCCUCAUGAGCACAUCACAGAGGGUCUCAUGCUUGCGGCAGGGGUGAGGGAGGCAGAGCAGAGAGGAGCGAUUCAUAGCGGCUCAUCCCCGAGGAUAAGAUGGAAACCGCAGUCCUGCAAAUGCACCCUGGGACAGCUGCAGGGAAAGACGUGGCCUUCUCCGCCGUCACCAGCCACUGCAGUUCGGGGUGACCAGGCCAGGGAGUCCUGAUCAAUAUCACCUUCUCCCAGCAAAACAGCGUAACGAAGCUCUAUUAGCGGCUCCGAGCGCUGGCGCGGACACCCGUGACUGGCACUGUGAUUAACAACUGCCCCUCUGUUCCCAGAGCUGCAGCCCGUCCGGGGCAGCGUCCCCACAGCCCUCGAGCCUGGCAGGAGCCUGGUGACUGUGUGAACUUUCCCGAAGCCGGAAGCCCAGCCUGAGCUAGCCGUGGGGUGCCCAGCCCCAGGCCUCUAGAGAACAGACCAUCAGGAACAGAAGGGCUCGUGUGGCCGGGAUUCAGGGAAGAAGAUGUGUGCCCACCACCCACCCACCCACCCACACACUCAUGUUCUGCAUCUCUUCCCACUGACUGCUCGCCAUCAACUCGCACACCUCCAGUGACGGGGAACUCACCUCCUAACGAAAGACCCGGUUUCCCAUCCAGCCAGCUGUGAUUGGGAGUGGGCUCCUCCAGAUCCGACUUUUGUGUCCAUCGGUCCUGGCAUUGUCCUUCAGGCCCCAGCCCGCCUCUCCCUUCCAGCAUGCCCGCCACCCCCACCCUGGAGCUUCCCACGGCUCCCCUCCACCCUGAAGCCAUCCACAGUGUCGGCCUUUGAGAGCCUCUGUGGCUACACCAGUAACAUCAAUAAUCAUAAUUGGUUGGCGGUUAGGGUGGGCCGGCCCUGUGCUCUGUCCGGCAGACGCCUAUUCUAGUCCUCAUAACAGCGCCGGGAGGACAGUGCUAUUGUUAUUCCAUUUUACAACCAGGGAAACUGAGGCACUGUGGACCUGCCCCAGCCACAGAUCUCACAAGGUUUCUCCGUUCCUCUUGAAGGCUCCAAGCCUUCCCCAUUCUGUGCAGACUGCGUGUCUGUCCCCGCCUGCGGACUCCGGCCAACCUCACGUGUGUGCUUUCCCUGCCCCCACUCCCGGGUACUGCCUUAACCUUCGCACGCCCGCUUUCCGCACUCCUCUCUGGCAGGGCCCGCUGUGCCCCCUGCACCCAGUGGGUCCAGUGACGGAAGACGCAGGCCUCCUGACUCCAGCCCAUCACUCUGCCCCGUCGGCCGCCCGCCCUCCCCGACUUCCUUUGCUCCGGCCCGUCCCCAAGCCCUGCCGACAUGGGAGGACAGGCCCGCGGGCAGCGUCUCAGGGACCAGGUCUCAGAGACCAGGCUCAGCCCGACGGCUGUAACGGACACACCCUGAGUCACGGCUCAGUCCCAGGGGGGAGCAAAUCCCAGUGGAACCACCGUGGGCAAAGGAGCCUCUGCCGGUGACCCGGACAGGGGUCAAGGGCCUCCAUGAGCAUCCGCCUCCAAGACAGCUGGCCGUGACCCCAGCCACCUGGUGCCACACAGGGAACCUGUUGGACGGGCGCAGUGGGGGUGACACGCAUGAACAUGAACCUGAACAAGCGAAUUCAGAGACACAGAGUGUCACGGGCUUCUCCGCGGAGCCUGCUCCUCAGCCAGGAUGGGGCCGGCCGGUGCCAGUUUAUUCAUGGUGGGACUGUGCUGAGCCCCAUGGCUGGACCAUGGCCGUUGGGGAUUGGAUCUCGGCACUCCAGCCCCUGAGACCUCCCAGCCCAGGAUCCCAUGCAAGUCUCCGCUGCCUCCCGUUCCUCAGGUCCCGGGCUGCGCUCUGCCAAGCAGCACAAGUGGACAAUUUUAAGGGAAAUUAAUGCAUGUGUUUCUGAAUCACCUUGUGUGGAAACUAUCACAAUGCUGUGUCUGAAGGACAGUAACACCCAGAAAUGACCUACCCAUGGGGUGAGCCGUCUGGGUCAUUGUGCCAGGUUUCUAAGAGUCUCCUAAUGGGACGGCCUCGCAGCCAGCCAGAGUCUCACCAGACAGUGCUAACACUGCCUCCUCCAGGAAGUCCCCCGGGGCCCCCCAGGCUUGGGAGAGGCCUCUCUGCAGAGCACAGCAUGCUCCAAAUCAGGGCCAUGGCCCAUGGGACCGUCCUGGUUUGCUAACAGUUUCCCCCCAGCAGAAGGCAGCUGCUUCAAGACAGGGGCCAGACCUGUCCAGGCCCACAAGGAGCAAGGAGGUCAACCUGGCAGGAGGGAAGGAGACAGGCAGGGAGCCCCUGGAAAGGACGCGCUAUGACCACGUCCAGGGCGGGCACAUUGGGCCCCAUGGCCAGUGAGCUGGAGCUGGUGAGGCAACCAGGGCUCUGCGUCCCCUCCCCAGCAGCUGCCCAGCAUCUCCACGGGGCUCGGCCUCACCGCACUGGACGGUCCAGCCCUUCCUUCCUUCUUAAGAGGCGCCUUCCUGUUAUUCCUCUGAAGCAAACCAACGGGGUCAUUUCCUUAGUGACAAGGUGUAGUGACCACUGCCAGACCACAGGCUGAGUGGCCACCCAGUCUGGGGUGUUCACACAGGACAAUGCCCCAGGGUGUGUGUGGGUGCAACUGCUGGGUGAGCGCUGGGGGCUGGCCUUCUGAGCUGAGACAACAGGGUCAGGAGGGUGUCGUCCUGCAAGGGGACAGUGUCCUUCCAAUGUCCUCUCGGAGAAUGACAUGUGUUGCAUCCAGAUGCAGCUGGUGGGCCUUCUUGGGAGGAACCCCAGGAUGGGAGGUCAGGGAAAGAACAUUCCAGAAGAAAGGCACUUCCUCAACCUGCGUGGGGAUACGGGGAGGCGGCAUCCUGUUUUGAAGCUAAGAAAGGGUACUUCUGCAGAAAGCCAGGACCCCCGGGGAGGACAGCACACAGUCUCCCUCCUCCCGUGUGUCUGUGGAACCGGCGUGUUUGCAGUCAGAGCCUUGGAAGAAGGCAGAGAAGGGCGCAUCUCCAUCCCUGCUGGCCCAGCCAGUCCGUUCUCCACGCCCUCACGGUUGACAUCCCACACUUGGGACUCUGCUGCCCUCUGGGGCCCCACGCCUGAGGAGAGACCUCACACCUGCAGGAUGGAAGCUGGGUGGGGCCGGGCUCUCCUCUCCUGCACGCAGUGCCAGCCAGGCCCCCUCACCCGGGUCCCAGCUGCGUCUCUGGGGGACGUCUGAGGCUUUGGGUGGGAGACCAUGUCUGUUUCUCUGCUCCGCUCUCAGGGGUGUGGGGGCGGGCAGGGUCUGUCCAGGGGCAUAGCCAGCCAAGGAGGGGACUGAAGACCCAUCCUUCUGAGAGCCCAAAGUGGCUGUGGGUCUUGUUCUGCAGGCAGCACAGCAGACUGCUGCAAUCCAGGAAGGCUUUGUGGAGGAGGUGACACACAGGUCAGGUCUUUCAGGUCUGGAGAAUGGAGGAAGGUGUUUGGGCUGCAGGCUAUAAUUUAUUUUAUACAAUUCUAGAUUUUUAUAAGUUUCAGUCACUUAACUUACUUCCUUUCCAAUGGCACAGUGAUGAAGCCGCUCUGAAAACAGGGGACAGAGUCACGCUACCACAGGGUGACUCAGUGUGUCACCUCUGUACGAAUCCACACAGACACAUCCCCUCGAGGACGGUCUGCAUGACCCAGUCCUGUCCUGUGUGGCAGGAGGAGCAUAGGGGUGCAGACACAGGGCAGGGAACAGACUGUCCCCUGCAGACGGGGGGCGGGUGUGCACCUGCAGCCUCCCGUUCAGCCUGUCCCAGUCUCCUGGAACCCCCCCACACCCCCUCUCUCCCAGCCGGGCCUGGAGCUGCUGUCUUCCACGUCAUUCUUUUCUUGGCAGUGCUGGCAGCCUGAAUUGUUGAAAACGUCUGUGUUUGGCUGUAAUCAGAGCCCUUGCGAAGCACUCGCCCCCUCCUUUUGUACUUCACGGUCCUCGAGGGGAAAAAUUUAUUACAAGCAUCAUUUUACACAAAC